rnacentral:tRNA from 1 species
GCUCUGAUAGCUUAAAAUAAAGCAUUGGUCUUGUAAAUCAAAGACUGUGAAUUAAUAUCUCACUCAAAGCU